AGAUUUAGGCACACGACUUUAUUAAUCGAACGAUGGAAGUUGGAUCAGACACGUUAGUAAUCUGUGGAUUUAACCCUAAGUAAAUUAGGAAAACCAAAGUUUUGUUGACUGCAUUAUAAUGGGGCCUUCGUUCGACAGCUUUUUGAAAUUACAAGAUUUAUGUCAUGCGAUUUUAAAGAACCCGGAUAACCUAAAUUCGCUGAAAGAUCUUAAAUUUUGCAUUAACCAGAUUCCAAGAAAUCUUAUUGAACAGGCACAUAAACCACUUUUGGCUAGUUUUUAUGCAAUUCUAAAGAUGAUAUCCGUUGACAAAAAUCGAUUUCCAGUCAACAAGAAGCAAAUCUUUGUGGAUACUUUAAAAGAGUUCUUGAAUAAGGCUUCCAUCACAAGUGAAAUAUUAUUUUUUAACAUUUACUCUUUCCUAUUGUUUGAACUUUAUGAUUACUCGCAGCAUAAGAUUUUAGCAAUACCUGAGGAAUAUAAAAUUAUGCUGUUACAAUGUAUGACUGCACUUCUAAAAAGUAUUUCUCCCGACAUAUUUGAUAAAAUAUAUAACAAAGAAAAUAUUCCGAAAAUAUCUCAAAUAGUAUUUGUAUGUGGAGAUUUAGCAAAACAAGAAAAGUCAAAAGAAAUAAAAUAUUUGGCAAUUGUCUGUGUUAUGGCUCUAGGAAAAGUUAGUGAUUCAGAUGACUAUAGUGAUAUUGUUUUACGGUGUAAAGUAGCAGAAGUUUUCAUGUUUUUUCUUCCUGGAAUUGUGAGUGCUCUUUGCCAAGUUAUUGUAGACAGUAUUAAAAGUGGUCAUAAAGUAUUAACGGUUGCCAUUAAAGCCUUUGGUCGCAUUGUGUCAAUUGUAGCUCAAAAUUAUGAACCUAAUGAUACUGGUUAUCUGCCUGACCUUGUUAUGUUAAAAGAAGCAAAAAGCAAAAUUAAAGUAAAAUGGAAAAAUAAAGAGGAAAUUGAUAAGUAUAUCAACACUACAAAAAGAACUUUGGAAUGGUAUAAAACCACAGAUGAAAAUUUACAAGCAAGCAUUACCAAGCUUAUCAAAAUUACCAGUCAUGAAAAUAUGAAAGUUAGACUAGAAUUAAUUGAAAUGAUUUCCCACAUAGUUAGUUAUUGUCACAGAACACUACCUUUGUCCAUUGCUAGUCUUAUUGAGUUUCUUAUAAUACUUUCUGAAGAUGACACCACCGAAGUUUCAGAUGUUAGUAAAAGUUUAAUGAAUGAUCUCUCUAAUAAACUAUCAUCAACAUCUUUGGUCUCAACAUUUGAAAGUUUAAAGGAGGGUUAUUACAACUCCAUACAAGAUCUUCCCAGAGUGUUCAACAAUGCGGAUGAUCAUCAAAAAAUAAUAGCUUUGAAUCUAAUCAUCGGCUAUGUAAAGCUAUUUGGGGAAACUGAUCUGAAAAGUAUCAUGUCAAGUCCCGUACUGUUGAAUGUGUUUAUAGAUAACUUGGUUCAUAUCUCCAAGUUACAAAUUUCUCAAGUUAGCAUUUUGGAGGAAAUUACUAUUAAAGAAAUUGUUCUGGUAAAGGACUUUAAGCAGCCUUGGAUUAAUUUUUUAUACUUUAGAGAUGAGACAAUAAAAAAUAAGUUGGAUCAAUUGUGUGCUCUCUUGUCAAAAAGUGGUUGUCUUGAUUUGCUUUACAAUUCUCUUAUGGAUCGUUUUGACGACAUAUCCAAUGAACACCGCAAGGAGAUCCAGUACUUACUUAAUGCCAUGCUUGUGCCAGAUUUAGAUGUAUAUGUGGAAAAUCCUCAAAUACUUAAAAACUUAAUCCAAAUCUACACUGAAAAAUUACACUAUCAAUUGUCCAUUGUUGAGUGUGAAGGCUAUACUCCAGAAGAACUCAAAGAAACAGUCGUUUUUCUGUGUUUAUUGGUGGAAGGUAUUGGUAAACUUUCCCUUACACUUAAAGAUAAGUUUAUUGCCCAUUUGCUACAUUGUCUUUAUGUGGUAUUAAGAUGUGCUGGUUGUAGACAUCCAUUAUUGCAAAAGGCCGGACUAUCCACAAUUGCUAUUAUUACGUAUUCAUGCGGUUACGCCGACUUCACAGAAUUAGUAAGCACCAAUUUUGAUUAUUUUUCAUAUCAUGUAGAAAGAAAACUUCUGAAAGCAGAUGAAAGAGAAAGCGCCCUAAAUGUGUUGUCGGUUGUUUUGAACCAUUGCACAAAAGACAUAUUCCAAUAUUUAAGCAAUAUUGUUGAAGGGAUUUUAGAGAACCCUUCAGACAUAUUUCAAAUAAAACAUGCCACUCCUUAUCUGAAAGUAUUGAGAAUGUGCGUUAUUUCCAUGAGACGUUGGUUUCCAAUAGAAGAAGAACAUCUUCCAAUUAAAUCUAGAUCACAGAAACAAGAUGAAUAUGAAGAAUAUCAUGUCUCAGGCAUACGAGAAAGUGAAAACUUUAGCGAUGACAUUAUGGAAGGUAAAACUGCAGAAGAAAUGUACAAAGAGGAUGUGGAAAGAAAAGCAAAUGAAAAUGAAGAAAUGGAUAUGGAACCAGACACGGCUAUAGAGUAUCAAAAACCAGAACCACCUCAAUAUGUUUCUGUAGCCACUACCAUUUUGCAAAGAAGUUUACAUUUUCUACCAUCAAAAGAUAGGUCUCGAAAAUUGCUGGUGCUAGAAAUACUUUCUACUGGGAUUGAAAUUUUGAAAGAUUGGGAAGAUCAGCUGCUGCCUACCGUCCACCAAAUUUGGUCUCCCCUCGUGCAGAGAUUUACAGAGUCAGAGGGGCCCCUGAUAAUAAGUUAUAGUUUUGAUUUGUUGCUGAUUUUGGCGAAACUCUCCAAAGACUUUAUAAGGAUGAGGACCGUGAAAGAAGUUUUGCCGAAUUUACUUCAAUUACUUGAGAAACUGUCUCGUGAGAGUUACCUAAAGGAUAAAGGUGCGGCAUUCAGGUACACGCAAAAAUACAAACUACAGAUCAAGGUUCUGGAUAAAUUGGGUUAUAUAUUGGCUUAUCUUGAUGUACAAAAUGAGGUGAUGGAAAAAUGUAUGGAAUGCGCAUUUCUUUAUUUGUCUGAUAAACAACCUCAGCCUUUACAAGUUAGUGCAUUAAAUUUCUUCAAUAUCGUCAUCAAAUAUGACUUGGGAUUAGUCGUUAAAAUUACCAAGAAAUGGAAUGAUAAGUUCACUGCGAAAGAGUAUCAAAGAAAUGUAGAACAAAUAAAUCAUAUGAUAAACAUGUAUGAGAGGCAAUUCUGAUGUGUACACUGAUAUAUUUUCAAUGUAUUAGAAACAUUGUUCGUUUGUUUCCAUUAAUAUACUAAAAAACAAUUCUGCAUUACAAACCAACCGAAACAAAUUAAAGCAAUGGACUACUCCAAAUAAGUGGAAGGGAAACUGUAGUUCCAGCCUGAAUUAGUCGAUUCAUUUAAUUUAUAAAAACUUUGAGAAGCACUAUUGAAAGGGUGCCGACGAAACCGGCCUUUGUUGGAAGUUGUAACCCAGUAAGACUUAUGUAUCAGAGACAGAGAAAACUGCACCGGGCAGAAAAAUUUCUAAACAACAGCUUACAUUUUUGGUCUGUACAAAUGCCGCAGGCGAUCAUAAAUUAAAGCCAUUAGUCCUAGGAAAAUCAAAAGUUGUUAAGAAUGCAUGGAUGACAAUGAAAAUUUUUCGAGAGUGGUUUCAUGAUAUUUAUCCCCGAGGUUAGUUCAGGUGAACGCGUUUUUAAUGAGUCUCGUAACUUACCCGUUAAGGCGUUAUUAUUAUUGGAUAAUGCACCGAGUCAUCAACCUGAAGCCAAUUUAAAAAGUUCUGAUGGUCUUAUUAUUGUAAUGUUUAUGCCACCAAAUGUAACAAUGCAGCCAAUGGACCAGAACGUUAUCAGAAUUACCAAGUUAUUUUUUUGUAAAAACCUACCAAGCCAAUUAUUGUCAAAAGGCUCUGACCUAAGUGCAAUGUUGGAAACAUACACUUUAAGGGAUGCAGUUUCAAAUUUAGCUUUGGCCAGGAAUAUGUUAAAACUAAUUUUUAUAGAGAAAUGUUGGCGAAAUAUUUUAACAAUCAACUUGGAUGAUGAAGAGGAUACUGUCCCCUUAAGUGUUUUAAUUUUGUGUAUUACAGGUUGAAUGUGAAAUAAACGACAUUAAUAGAGAUGAAAUAACAAUUGAUUCUGUUUCGGAAAAAGAUGACAAUGACUAUUGUCGCGAACAUUGCCUUAUAUUUUCGUCAAUGUUGGGAUUAUUUUAUAAGCUGGCAACAGCGCGGUUUGUCCGAGUAGUCAAGCACAUGAAUACGCCAAAAAAAAAAAAAAUAAAGUGUUGUUAUGUGAAAAGAGUCGUUUUAUAUCUACAUUUUUUCUAUCCCGAGAAUAACCAUAACCGAAUCGAAGUAUAUCUACGUUAAACGAGUAUACGCAACAACUAUGUCAAAUACAGAAAACAAGCUAAUUUCAACAAGCCACGAUAUGCGAAAUGGUGAUAUAAUAGAAUAUAACGUCUUGAUUGUGUCACAUGAUUUAAAACAAAAAAUUCUAGAAAUCAACCUAAAGAAACAGUUUAAAUGACCUUAACUAACGCCAUUUUUCACGCAUAGUUUAAUAUUUUUCUAUAAACCUUAGUAUGCAUUUAAUUAUAAUAGUACUUUUUGUUUGCUACUUUUUGCAGAAUAUAUAUAUUAUUUCUUUCAGCGUGUCCUUACUUAAUCUCAAACCCCGCAAAUCUUAACACCUGCAAAAGAGUAAAAUUGCUUUGCCAAAAUAAGUUCAAUAAAUCGCGACUUCACUGUAGUGCAAAAUAAUUAUAAUAUAAUUAAUUAUAAUCAUGUUCACGUUGUUCUUUAUGACGGAGGUGAUAUGGAGAACAUUUUUUAUUGGACGGGCUUGCAACUUAUUUUUCUAUAUUUUGAAUCUCACGCAAAAUUUUUAUUGUCCUGCUGUAUACAGUAAUUUUUAUGUAAAUAAAUACACACUAAAUAUAUCAAUUUAAAAAGAACUCCUUUGGAUCUAAGCUACAAUUUACAAAGGACCCUGAUAUUAUAAAAGUGUGCAAAAGGCAUUUUUUAUGGCCCCCGUUUUUAUUUUUUGCGAACGAAAGC